UACGGGGGGGGCAAGCGUUGUUCGGAAUUACUGGGCGUAAAGGGCUCGUAGGUGGCCAACUAAGUCAGACGUGAAAUCCCCAGGCUCAACCUGGGAACUGCGUCUGAUACUGGAUGGCUUGAAUCCGGGAGAGGGAUGCAGAAUUCCAGGUGUAGCGGUGAAAUGCGUAGAUAUCUGGAGGAAUACCGGUGGCGAAGGCGGCAUCCUGGACCGGCAUUGACGCUGAGGAGCGAAAGCCAGGGGAGCAGACGGG
rnacentral:rRNA from 1 species